AUGUUCCGUGCUGCUGAUUUGAUUGUCUCCUUCUCCUCCACCCUCUUCGAGGGACGGAAGCUCCCAUGGAGAAGGCAGCCAGGCCCAGGGAGGGCCUGCUCCAGGGCACACAGGACACAACCACUGUCAACUACCGAGGUCCCCGCGCGCCAGGACACAGCCGGCUCGGCGUGGCCUCCAAGUGGGAGCUCGCUGCUUAUCUGUCAACUGAUUGGACGCUGUGAGGCUCAUUUUGCGAGACAACUCCCCUCCCCGCGGAAGGAGGAGCCCCUUGGAGUCGGCUGGGUAACGGGAAAAGUGCUUACUCCGGGAGGAAGGCGGGGCUAGCCGGAACCAGCUCUCGCUAAGAACCCGCAGACUCCCCCGGCGUGUCUGAACCCCGUUCUCCUCCGGGGAGCGCGAGGGGGUUGGAGGUACUUGGAACACGUCCCUUUGCGGGAGACACGUAGCUGCCUCUGGCCCAGCUCCCCGCUGAUCCUGCGGAGUGGA
rnacentral:lncRNA from 1 species